rnacentral:rRNA from 1 species
CUAUCCAUGGCCAGGUUGAAGGUGUGGUAACACACACUGGAGGACCGAACCGACUAGUGUUGCAAAAUUAGCGGAUGAGCUGUGGAUAGGGGUGAAAGGCUAAACAAAUCUGGAGAUAGCUGGUUCUCCCCGAAAACUAUUGAGGUAGUGCCUCGUGUAUGACUCCAGGGGGUAGAGCACUGUUAUGGCUAGGGGGACAUGGCGUCUUACCAAACCAUGGCAAACUCCGAAUACUUGGAAGUUUGAGCACGGGAGACAGAGCACCGGGUGCUAACGUCCGGACUCAAAAGGGAAACAACCCAGACCGCCGGCUAAGGUCCCUAAUAUUGACUAAGUGGAAAACGAAGUGGGAAGGCUAAGACAGUCAGGAAGUUGGCUUAGAAGCAGCCAUCCUUCAAAGAAAGCGUAAUAGCUCACUGAUCGAGUCUUCCUGCGCGGAAGAUGUAACGGGGCUAAGUCAAUAACCGAAGCCGCGGAUUCACGAUUUGUCGUGAGUGGUAGGGGAGCGUUCUGUAAGCCUGCGAAGGCGGUUCGUAAGGACUGCUGGAGGUAUCAGAAGUGCGAAUGCUGACAUGAGUAACGUUAAAGCAGGUGAAAAGCCUGCUCGCCGUAAGCCCAAGGUUUCCUGCUCUACGUUCAUCGGAGCAGGGUGAGUCGGCCCCUAAGGCGAGGCUGAGAAGCGUAGCUGAUGGGAACAAGGUUAAUAUUCCUUGACCGCCGUUGAGUGCGAAGGGGGGACGGAGUGUUGAAGAUCAUCCGGGUGUUGGAUGUCCCGGUUUGUGAACGUAGGAGGCCGGCAGGCAAAUCCGCCGGCGUAUCUCCGAGGUGAAGCAUCGAGGUCCGUAUGGACCGAAGUGAUCGGAUGGGCUCCCAGGAAAAGCCUCUAAGCUCCAGCUCAACGGGACCGUACCGCAAACCGACACUGGUGGGCGAGCUGAAUAUGCUCAGGCGCUUGAGAGAACUCAGGAGAAGGAACUCGGCAAAUUGACACCGUAACUUCGGGAUAAGGUGUGCCUCGGUAGCGUGAAGGAAGAAACAUCCGGAGCGUGAAGAGGUCUCAGAGAAUCGGUGGCUGCGACUGUUUACUAAAAACACAGCACUCUGCAAAGACGAAAGUCGACGUAUAGGGUGUGAUGCCUGCCCGGUGCUGGAAGAUUAAUUGAUGGGGUGCAAGCUCCUGAUCGAAGUCCCAGUAAACGGCGGCCGUAACUAUAACGGUCCUAAGGUAGCGAAAUUCCUUGUCGGGCAAGUUCCGACCUGCACGAAUGGCAUAACGAUGGCCACACUGUCUCCUCCUGAGACUCAGUGAAGUUGAAGUGUUUGUGAUGAUGCAAUCUCCCCGCGGCUAGACGGAAAGACCCCAUGAACCUUUACUGUAGCUUUGCAUUGGACUUUGAACCGAUCUGUGUAGGAUAGGUGGGAGGCUGUGAAACCGGGACGCCAGUACCGGUGGAGCCGUCCUUGAAAUACCACCCUGAUUUGUUUGAGGUUCUAACCUAGGUCGGUGAUCCCGAUCGGGGACCGUGCAUGGUAGGCAGUUUGACUGGGGCGGUCUCCUCCUAAAGGGUAACGGAGGAGUGCGAAGGUACGCUAGGUACGGUCGGAAAUCGUGCUGAUAGUGCAAUGGCAAAAGCGUGCUUGACUGCGAGACCCACAAGUCGAGCAGAUACGAAAGUAGGUCAUAGUGAUCCGGUGGCUCUGUAUGGAAGGGCCAUCGCUCAACGGAUAAAAGGUACUCUGGGGAUAACAGGCUGAUACCGCCCAAGAGUUCAUAUCGACGGCGGUGUUUGGCACCUCGAUGUCGGCUCAUCUCAUCCUGGGGCUGUAGCCGGUCCCAAGGGUAUGGCUGUUCGCCAUUUAAAGAGGUACGUGAGCUGGGUUUAAAACGUCGUGAGACAGUUU